GAUGAAGAACGUAGCGAAAUGCGAUAAGUAAUGUGAAUUGCAGAAUUCAGUGAAUCAUCGAAUCUUUGAACGCACCUUGCGCCCUUUGGCCAUUCCGAAGGGCAUGCCUGUUUGAGUAUCAUGAACACCUCAACUCUUUAUGGUUUUCCAUGAUGAGCUUGGACUCUGGGGGUUUUGCUGGCUCACAGUCGGCUCCUCUAAAAUGAAUCAGCUUACCAGUGUUUGGUGGGUAUCAUGGGUGUGAUAACUAUCUACGCUUGUGGUUUUUCCACCAGGUAACCUUCAGCAGUGGAGGUUCGCUGGGGCUCAUAAAUGUCUCUCUUCAGUGGAGACAGCUUUUUGGACGUUUGAUCUCAAAUCAGGUAGGACUACCCGCUGAACUUAAGCAUAUCAAUAAGCGGAGGA
rnacentral:misc_RNA from 1 species